CCUACGGGUGGCAGCAGUGAGGAAUAUUGGUCAAUGGACGAGAGUCUGAACCAGCCAAGUAGCGUGAAGGAUGACUGCCCUAUGGGUUGUAAACUUCUUUUAUAUGGGAAUAAAAUGUUCCACGUGUGGGAUUUUGUAUGUACCAUAUUAAUAAGGAUCGGCUAACUCCGUGCCAGCAGCCGCGGUAAUACGGAGGAUCCGAGCGUUAUCCGGAUUUAUUGGGUUUAAAGGGAGCGUAGGUGGGUUGUUAAGUCAGUUGUGAAAGUUUGCGGCUCAACCGUAAAAUUGCAGUUGAAACUGGCAGUCUUGAGUACAGUAGAGGUGGGCGGAAUUCGUGGUGUAGCGGUGAAAUGCUUAGAUAUCACGAAGAACUCCGAUUGCGAAGGAAGUUCACUAGACUGCAACUGACAUUGAGGCUCGAAAGUGUGGGUAUCAAACAGGAUUAGAUACCCCAGUAGUC
rnacentral:rRNA from 1 species